AAUACUCUUCGGGGUUGGGUGAAAUUCCUAAUCGGCGGUGAAAGUCCGCGAGUCCCAUAAAAAAUAUGGGACCGAAUCUGUGAAAUUCAGAUACCGACGGUAAAGUCCGGAUGGAAGAAGAGAAUA
rfam:Elusimicrobia bacterium RIFOXYC2_FTLL_34_12 rifoxyc2_full_scaffold_3608, whole genome shotgun sequence.